rnacentral:rRNA from 1 species
GACGAACGCUGGCGGCGUGCUUAACACAUGCAAGUCGAACGGAAGGGCCCUGAUUUUGUGGCGUGCUCGUUUGGCGAACAGGUGAGUAUCACGUGUGUAACAUGCCCUUGACUUUGGGGUAACUUUAGGAAACUGGGUCUCAUACAGGGUAGGAGCUCCUGCUGCAUGUUGUUGGUUGGUAAGAUCCGGUGGUUGGGUAUGGAAUAGAGGCUUAUACGCUUGUUGGUGUGGUAGUGACUUACAAGGGCUAUGACGGGUAGGCUGCCUGGGAGGGUAAACGGCCACAUUGGUACUAAGAUAGGGACCAGUAUCCUACGGGCGGCAGCAGUGGGGAAUAUUGCAGAAUGGGCGGAAGCGUGAUGCAGAAACGCCGCGUGCGGGAUGACGGGCUUCUGGUUGUAAACCGAUUUCGACGGUGACGAAGCGAGAGUGACGGUAAUGAGUAAAGAAGCCACGGCUAACUACGUG